GAUGAACGCUGGCGGCGUGCCUAAUACAUGCAAGUCGAGCGAACGGACGAGAAGCUUGCUUCUCUGAUGUUAGCGGCGGACGGGUGAGUAACACGUGGAUAACCUACCUAUAAGACUGGGAUAACUUCGGGAAACCGGAGCUAAUACCGGAUAAUAUUUUGAACCGCAUGGUUCAAAAGUGAAAGACGGUCUUGCUGUCACUUAUAGAUGGAUCCGCGCUGCAUUAGCUAGUUGGUAAGGUAACGGCUUACCAAGGCAACGAUGCAUAACCGACCUGAGAGGGUGAUCGGCCACACUGGAACUGAGACACGGUCCAGACUCCUACGGGAGGCAGCAGUAGGGAAUCUUCCGCAAUGGGCGAAAGCCUGACGGAGCAACGCCGCGUGAGUGAUGAAGGUCUUCGGAUCGUAAAACUCUGUUAUUAGGGAAGAACAUAUGUGUAAGUAACUGUGCACAUCUUGACGGUACCUAAUCAGAAAGCCACGGCUAACUACGUGCCAGCAGCCGCGGUAAUACGUAGGUGGCAAGCGUUAUCCGGAAUUAUUGGGCGUAAAGCGCGCGUAGGCGGUUUUUUAAGUCUGAUGUGAAAGCCCACGGCUCAACCGUGGAGGGUCAUUGGAAACUGGAAAACUUGAGUGCAGAAGAGGAAAGUGGAAUUCCAUGUGUAGCGGUGAAAUGCGCAGAGAUAUGGAGGAACACCAGUGGCGAAGGCGACUUUCUGGUCUGUAACUGACGCUGAUGUGCGAAAGCGUGGGGAUCAAACAGGAUUAGAUACCCUGGUAGUCCACGCCGUAAACGAUGAGUGCUAAGUGUUAGGGGGUUUCCGCCCCUUAGUGCUGCAGCUAACGCAUUAAGCACUCCGCCUGGGGAGUACGACCGCAAGGUUGAAACUCAAAGGAAUUGACGGGGACCCGCACAAGCGGUGGAGCAUGUGGUUUAAUUCGAAGCAACGCGAAGAACCUUACCAAAUCUUGACAUCCUUUGACAACUCUAGAGAUAGAGCCUUCCCCUUCGGGGGACAAAGUGACAGGUGGUGCAUGGUUGUCGUCAGCUCGUGUCGUGAGAUGUUGGGUUAAGUCCCGCAACGAGCGCAACCCUUAAGCUUAGUUGCCAUCAUUAAGUUGGGCACUCUAAGUUGACUGCCGGUGACAAACCGGAGGAAGGUGGGGAUGACGUCAAAUCAUCAUGCCCCUUAUGAUUUGGGCUACACACGUGCUACAAUGGACAAUACAAAGGGCAGCGAAACCGCGAGGUCAAGCAAAUCCCAUAAAGUUGUUCUCAGUUCGGAUUGUAGUCUGCAACUCGACUACAUGAAGCUGGAAUCGCUAGUAAUCGUAGAUCAGCAUGCUACGGUGAAUACGUUCCCGGGUCU
rnacentral:rRNA from 1 species